CUUUGGAAAUGUUUAGGUCCAUAUAUAAUGGAUAAAUACUCUCUGUUGAACCACACUGAUACCACAGGAUAACAGACCGGACCGAAUACGGACAUAUACCCAAAAUGGCUUGCCAAAAAGUAUUAUUUGUUUUAAUGGCAGCAAUGAUAAGUUGUGUAUACACGACAAUGGGAAUGAACACUAUAGAAGUUAAUUCAAUCUUACCGUGCGAACCAUGCAAACAUGACGAACUUCCGCUUUGGCAUUUUAAGAAAAUGUCUCCGAUUUGUGGACCAUGCGGAGUAUUGUUCGGAGCAGAAUUUGAGUAUUGUUGUAUGUGUGAUGAAGAUGUCCGAAAAGACUGCAUGGCAGCACUAAGAAAGUAAAACAAAAAGCCAUGCGAACAAUUUCAGCCUUAUAUGUCACAAAACCGUGUACGAUUAUAGUUAUUAGUGCUUAUGUGAUGACGACAGCAAUAGCAGACCAGAAGAAAAAGAAAAAAAAAACAGAAAGCAAGCUUUGAGAUAUCCAUAGUUGAAAAAAUAAAUAUGUUUUAAAGUUUA